rnacentral:rRNA from 1 species
CAGCCGUAAACUAUGCCCGCUAGGUGUCAGGCAUGGCGCAACCGUGUCUGGUGCCGCAGGGAAGCCGUGAAGCGAGCCACCUGGGAAGUACGGCCGCAAGGCUGAAACUUAAAGGAAUUGGCGGGGGAGCACAACAACGGGUGGAGCCUGCGGUUUAAUUGGACUCAACGCCGGACAACUCACCGGGGACGACAGCAAUAUGUAGGCCAGGCUGAAGACCUUGCCUGAAUCGCUGAGAGGAGGUGCAUGGCGUAGACGUCU